GCGUCCUGUUUUCACAGUGUAAAUAGCCCGGUACUAGCAGCCGUCCCCCGAGAAAUUUACGACCUUACGAAAAUUUACAACCGUCCCGUUUCGUAAGUGUUAAAACGAUACGCGGAAAGUAAUCGUUUCCAUCGACGUGUACCGUCGGCCGCGUGUUUCGAUUGAUAACGUCGUAUCCGCCGGGCGACGAUUUCGUGUUUCGAUAACGUU